ACUGGCGGCGGCUUACCAUGCNAGUCGAGCGGUAACAUUUCUAGCUUGCUAGAAGAUGACGAGCGGCGGACGGGUGAGUAAUACUUAGGAAUCUACCUAGUAGUGGGGGAUAGCUCGGGGAAACUCGAAUUAAUACCGCAUACGACCUACGGGAGAAAGGGGGCAACUUGUUGCUCUCGCUAUUAGAUGAGCCUAAGUCGGAUUAGCUAGAUGGUGGGGUAAAGGCCUACCAUGGCGACGAUCUGUAGCUGGUCUGAGAGGAUGAUCAGCCACACCGGGACUGAGACACGGCCCGGACUCCUACGGGAGGCAGCAGUGGGGAAUAUUGGACAAUGGGGGAAACCCUGAUCCAGCCAUGCCGCGUGUGUGAAGAAGGCCUUUUGGUUGUAAAGCACUUUAAGCAGUGAAGAAGACUCUUCGGUUAAUACCCGGAGACGAUGACAUUAGCUGCAGAAUAAGCACCGGCUAACUCUGUGCCAGCAGCCGCGGUAAU
rnacentral:rRNA from 1 species